rnacentral:rRNA from 1 species
UACAGAGGUCUCAAGCGUUGUUCGGAUUCAUUGGGCGUAAAGGGUGCGUAGGCGGCGCGGUAAGUCGGGUGUGAAAUCUCGGAGCUUAACUCCGAAACUGCAUUUGAUACUGCGGUGCUUGAGGACUGGAGAGGAGACUGGAAUUUACGGUGUAGCAGUGAAAUGCGUAGAGAUCGUAAGGAAGACCAGUGGCGAAGGCGGGUCUCUGGACAGUUCCUGACGCUGAGGCACGAAGGUCAGGGGAGCAAACGGGG